GCCCUUGACUUUGGGAUAACUUCAGGAAACUGGGGCUAAUACCGGAUAGGAGCUCCUGCUGCAUGGUGGGGGUUGGAAAGUUUCGGCGGUUGGGGAUGGACUCGCGGCUUAUCAGCUUGUUGGUGGGGUAGUGGCUUACCAAGGCUUUGACGGGUAGCCGGCCUGAGAGGGUGACCGGCCACAUUGGGACUGAGAUACGGCCCAG
rnacentral:rRNA from 1 species